GGCCGGGUCUGGCGGUCAGUCCAAUGGGCUGCUACUGCUGGCCUGGUCUUUCCUUCUGGGGAACUUGUGUGCACUUUACUGUGUGUGCAAGGGAUCCAGGACUUUUACUUUGAAAAAAUUAGAGUGUUUAAAGCGGGUUUUUGCUUGAAUACAUUAGCAUGGAAUAAUAGAAUAGGACUUUGGUUCUAUUUUGUUGGUUUCUAGGACCGAAGUA
rnacentral:rRNA from 1 species